rnacentral:rRNA from 1 species
UACGAAGGGGGGCUAGCGUUGCUCGGAAUCACUGGGCGUAAAGCGCACGUAGGCGGCUUUUUAAGUCAGGGGUGAAAUCCUGGAGCUCAACUCCAGAACUGCCUUUGAUACUGAGAAGCUCGAGUCCGGGAGAGGUGAGUGGAACUGCGAGUGUAGAGGUGAAAUUCGUAGAUAUUCGCAAGAACACCAGUGGCGAAGGCGGCUCACUGGCCCGAUACUGACGCUGAGGCACGAAAGCGUGGGGAGCAAACAGGG